rnacentral:lncRNA from 1 species
GUUUAUUUGCAUGCAUUUGAGACUGUUAACAGCAUCAACUACAUAUUUAAACGACAUUUGAGGAAAGAUAUUUGAAUGGACUGUUUCUUGGUUCUUGACCAAUUGUCUCUUUCUAUUGUCUUUAACAUAUGCAGAUAAGUGUCAAUCAAAAUGUUGGAGCCAUGAAUUUUUUUCCCUUGAAGCUCUAUAGCCUGUUUCACUAUCUUAUGGCAUGAUUUUGUCUUGGAGGGGAAGUGUGUGCUACGCCCGCUUCUUCUUCUUCUUCUUUUUUUAAUUCCUUGUCUAUUAUUUUACUCUCCUUUUUGAGAUCAGACCCUUAGAGGAUUUUCCCUUUACAUUCAACUCAACAAACACGUACUAAGCAUGGACUCUUGUCGUGUAGUUUUCUAAGACCUGAGUCUACAACAACACAAGUGAUAGCUGAAGCCUUCCUACUGCUUCACAUCAGUUACGGGUGACUGACAUCGAAUACUUAAUUAUGAGUAUGAUGAGCAUUAUUGAAGUUCACAGGGCAAAGGUGGGCAUAUAGCUG